rnacentral:lncRNA from 1 species
AAUAACCAAAAAACAAGAAAAAGAUUUCAAACUUUUGAAAAUAGUGUACUGUGGAAAACUUUUGAACCAAAAGUCCAAAAGUUGAACAUAUAGGACUGUGGAGAAUACAGAAAAAUAAAGAAUUAUUUUACUUAUAUAAAUAUCCUCCCACAAUAAACAUAAAGAAGACAAAAAGAAUACAAUGAGUUGGUCAUCUGGCAAGAAUGGCUGAAGAGAGAGCUCCAAAAAGACUUCUUGAAGAAAAACAUUCAGGAAAAGACUGCGGGGAUGACGAGAUGCUCCGAGACUUGGAAACAUUUGGACUGGAGGACAGCGGCAGAGAAGUGAAAGAAAUGGCAAGGCUAUGUGCAGGUGGUCAGAAGAAGAAAGAAGUUUUCAUUGUGUUGUCGCUACUUGUCCUAAGUACUGAUAUUCUUCUAUCUGGUUGUAGGUUUACUUUUGUGUUGAAUAUUUUCUUUGUCUUCUCAUAGUCAUUUGCAUUCCUAUUUUCUUACUUCCUAUUUUGAGGCCAUUUAACAUUUCCUGUAAUUCAUUCAGUAUUUGAGCAAACAAUACUGUGUUUUUUUGCAAAUCUCAAGUGGAAAAGAUAUUCUCCAUUGAUAUUUAUUCCUUUGUGUUCCUAUCCAUUUAUAUAUCAAAAUAUUACUUUUAGGCAGGCUGUGAGCGCUUUCAGUGAUAUGCUGUUUUCUUGAUGAACUCCUCAUUGGAUUUUUAUUUUCCUAUUUGUGUAAUCUUAUCAUGGCUUUUUUGCUUUCUUGUAGGUGAUACACAGUAGUUCUAUGUACG